UGGGGAAUAUUGCACAAUGGGGGAAACCCUGAUGCAGCGACGCCGCGUGAGCGAAGAAGGUUUUCGAAUCGUAAAGCUCUGUCCUAUGAGAAGAUAAUGACGGUAUCAUAGGAGGAAGCCCCGGCUAAAUACGUGCCAGCAGCCGCGGUAAUACGUAUGGGGCGAGCGUUGUCCGGAAUUAUUGGGCGUAAAGCGCGCGCAGGUGGUUUAGAAAGUCUGAUGUGAAAGCCCACGGCUCAACCGUGGAGGGUCAUUGGAAACUAAUAAACUUGAGUGCAGGAGAGAAAAGUGGAAUUCCUAGUGUAGCGGUGAAAUGCGCAGAUAUUAGGAGGAAUACCGGUGGCGAAGGCGACUUUCUGGCCAUAUACUGACGCUGAGGUACGAAAGCGUGGGUAGCAAACAGG
rnacentral:rRNA from 1 species